UUAGGUUCCUGGUAAAGCACCAGAGCUUUCCUCCUUGGACAACCUCCGAGCAGCACCAGGAGUGUCUUUGUGCCAGCAUGCUGCUCAUCAUGUUUUUUCUGGCGUAGCUUCUUUCACCACCUACAGGAGCUCACCAAAGGUUGACUUGUGCUGCAUGACUUUCUUCCCCUCUUCAUUACCUUUGGGAGGCAUUUAGCUCCUGCUGCUUUGCAUAUUUUGUGAUAGGGUUUUUCACAGGCAAAACUUCUGCUGCUUAGACCAGUUCCCUGGCUGUCCUUGCGUGCUGUCAGAAAGAUGUAUUUAAUACAGGCCAUGACCUCUAGUAGCAGGCAAACAGAGAUAAGUGCUUCUCUCUCUGGUAUUUUUCAGCUGGCUGAGUCAAGCAGCUGCUCAAAGUGUCCCUGCUGGAGGGGUAUGUCCAGUGUUCCCAUGGGAAACAAAAUGGUAGUGCAGAGUGGCAGCCUUUCAGGUUACAUUUGCUGCAGAUCAUAGAACAACUGAGUGCCUUGCCUUGGCUUCAGAGAGGAUCUGCAGUGCCCAUGGACAUCAUGGGGUGAGUGGUCCCCAAUGAUGCUGCUGCUUUCUUUGUCUUUACCUUCACAAGACACAGGGAGGAAGAAAAUUAGCUACAAGUUUUAUGCUGGAGUCAAUUUUCCCUCCAGAGAUCUUUUUUUUCUAGAAGCAUUAUCUUGAUUUUAAAAUGUGAUUUUGAUAGUGACAGGCCGAGUGACUUUGCAUGUAGAGAGCUGGAAGUGAAACCAUUGGCUGACCUGUUAUCACAACAGCAACUGGGGAAGAGGAUGUGGGAAGAGAAUUACUCUUUCCAAGGAGGAACUGAAUGUGCUACUUUUGAAGUGUGGAAGGAGACAGCUCCUUUCAGCACACAGAGGAGGGCUCUAUUUCCCAAGUGAUCUUCAGGAAAAGCAAAGACACAAAAACUGGGUUAGCCCAAAUAAAAGAUGUACUCACCCAAUGCCAGGAUGCUCUGAAAAUAAAUGAAGGCAAGCCUGGAAACUAGCUCUAAAUGGGCACAAUUAAGCAAGAGGCCAUGAAGUAUCUGUUUCCUGGUGUCAGGAUCAGACACCAGCCAAGCAGGAAGAAUGGGAAGAGUUUUAUCCCCAGGUUCAGUCCCUCUCAGUAGAGCCUCCUGGUUCAUGAGUUUCCCUGCAUACCUGUUCCCCCUGAGCCCAAGUAGUGUCCAUGGAGCCAAACCAUGGCCCCAGACCCCAUGACUGCCUCUGCUGGCUUUGGACAGAUCCUGAACCUGGCUUGAAGCUGGGUCUUACCUUCACACAGCCAUGCUUUCUCACAGGGCCGUGGGCUUUCCUCCGUUUCCUUUGCAUCCUUUGUUUGGCUUUACCAGCCAACACUGCAGUUUUUUCCCUACGCAGGAGUGACCUCAUGCUCAGGAAAGCAUUUGGCAGAAACGUGCUCAAGGUUUCUUAAGAUUCAAAGGGCCUGAAAAGACGAUUUUGCACCUGCAUGUCUGUUGCUGAUGGCAAAGACAGCAACUGAACCUGAGCCUUUGUGAUCUGUAGUUUUAGUAGUGAGUAAAUUUAGUAAUUUGGUGCAGUGACUAUGCACCGUGUCAGUUCAGCUCUCUUCUUCUGCACAAGUGGGAAAUGUGGUUAGAUGUGCAGGGCUGUCCAAAAGAGAAGGUGUCAUUCUUGUGAGGGCUCUCCACAAUAAAAAAAAGAAUAAAGGCUGUGAAACUGUUUUCCCCAUGGGUCACCCUUCAUUUCAAAUCCUUUGCUGUCUCUUCAUGGCUCUGAAGUAAUAGCUGACAGCAUGCUUUAAUGGUAGCUGUUACAACAUGGCAAAGUGAGAGGAAGCCACUAUUCUCAAGCCCCCAAAGCAGGCUGGUCUACUCAGUGCUGUACAAAGACAGUGACAUUUUAAAACCUCUGAACCUUUGGGCAUGGUGUAUCACUGGCAUUUGUAAGGAUAACGUCACACUACUCGAGAGAUCUGAGUGUCCACAGCCUCUGUCAGCCUGCCUCACCGCCCUGCUAUAGAACGACCCUGUUUUCCCUUCUAUUUCCAUCACUGUUUCCCCAAUGGUGGACAUUUCUGGGCAUAUUUCUUCGAGCCCUAGGAGCAAAGCUUGACUGAGGAUCGUGAAGAAGGCAGUGUUUAGGGUCUGGCCAGAUGUACACAGCAACGGAAACAAAGCACGGCAGGAAGGUGGCAGAGUUGCUCUGACUAAUAAGAAGGUCACCGGCUUUCUCACCCUCCAACACGGAAACACCCGUAUUUGAUACGACUAAGGUUAAUCUCGGUUUCAUGCGGGGCUGGAUAAAAACAAACAAACAAACCAACCAAAAAACGCCCUUUGCCUGGUGCGGGGAUCAGCACCACAACAGCUUUUGCUGUUACUCCACGGGGUGAGCUGUGCUCAGUCACCCGAGCGGUUCACAAACCUCGCAGCAAGACCAAGGGCAGGGAGAGAUCCAGCGGCUGCAGCCACACGCCGGCGAUCCAGGGAACCGCCGGCACCGGCGGGCUCACCCCACCGGGGGCACCCGAGGGGCCCCAGGGAGGCGGCGGGGCCGCUCUCUGGGCCGUGCCAGGCGGAGCAAGGGGCAGGAGCUGAGAGGCUCGGGCCGGACGUGGGGACCCUUCCUCCCCGGGAGCAGAGGCCGGGGCGGGGAGUCGCGGAGCCGCCCGCCCCCACGGCAGGGCCGGCGCUCCCCGGCGCGGCGGGGGCGGUGCAGGAGCCCCCGGGGGCGGUGCGGGGCGGACCGUUGUCCGCGUCCCGCCCCCGGCGGGGCGGUAGUGGCGGUUACGUGCGCGGGGCGGCGCGGCUGGUAGUGCCGGCGCGGAGCCGCGGGGAGCCCCGGUCUCGUCGCGGUGGUGGUGGUGGCGGCGGCGCCGCUCAGCGCGGCCGCGCCCAUGGCGAGCGGCGGCGGCGGCGGCAGCGGCAGGUAGGGCGGAGCGGGGCGGGGACCCGCUCCCCCGGCCAUGGCGCAGACGGAGCCCCCAAAGGCGGUGCGGCUGUGGCGCGACGCCGCCCUGCGCGCACGGAAGCUGCGGGGCGGCUCCGGCGAGCCCGAGUCCGAGCCAGAGCCGGACGCGGGGCCGCCGGGGGGGCCGCCGUCGCCCCCCGCUGCCGCGCCCCGCCGCUCACCCCCGGCGGCGGCCCUGGGGGAACUGGAGGCGCUGAACCUGAGCGGGCGGGGGCUGGAGGAGCUGCCCGAGGAGGUGGGCGCCGCCCUGAGCGGGCUGCGGGUGCUCAGCUUGCGGCGUAACCGGCUGAGCCGUCUGCCCGACGCUGCCCUGCGCCACCUGAGCCGCCUGGCCGAGCUGGACCUCAGCCACAACCGGCUGCGGGGCCUGGGGGACGGCGGGGCUCUGGCGGGGCUGCGGGGCCUGCGCAAGCUCAGCCUCAGCCACAACGAGCUGGGCGCCGAGGGCCCGGGUCUGCCCCCCUGCCUCGCCGAGCUGCGCUGCCUCGAGGAGCUCGACCUCAGCUUCAACCGCCUGCGCCGCCUCCCCGAGGGCCUGGGCCACCUGCAGCACCUCCGUGCCCUCGACGUCGACCACAACUUGCUGCCAUCCUUCCCCACCCUGCUGCUGGAGCUGGGCGCCCUGGAGGAGCUCGACUGCUCUGGCAACCGCCACCUCGGGGCCCUGCCCGAGGGCAUCUCUGCUCUCCGUCGCCUCAAGAUCCUUUGGCUGAGCGGCACGGGGCUGGCAGCUCUGCCCGAGGGCCUCUGCCAGCUGAGCGCCCUUGAGAGCCUCAUGCUGGAUGGCAACCGGCUGCAGGCCCUGCCCGCUGGCUUUGGCAGCCUCCAGCGGCUCAAGAUGCUGAACCUCUCCUCCAAUCUGCUGGGGGAAUUCCCUACUGCCAUCUUGGCGCUGCCCAGUCUGGAGGAGCUCUACCUGAGCCGCAACCAGCUCACCCUGCUGCCGCCUCGACUCUGUCAGCUCCACCAGCUUCGCACCCUCUGGCUGGACAACAACCGUAUCCGCUACCUGCCUGACUCCAUUGUGCUUCUCCACAGCCUGGAGGAGCUGGUCCUGCAAGGCAACCAGAUUGCCAUCCUGCCGGAGGGCUUUGGGCAGCUUUCUCGUGUCACCCUGUGGAAGAUCAAAGACAACCCCCUCAUCCAGCCCCCCUAUGAGGUGUGCAUGAAAGGCAUCCCCUACAUUGCAGCCUACCAGCAGGAGCUGGCCCACUCCCAGCCUGCCCUCAAACCCCGCCUCAAGCUGGUCCUUGUGGGGCUGAAGGAUGCAGGAAAGACCCUGCUGAGACGGUGCCUCAUGGAGGAGGAUGGGCAGAGGGAUGAUGUGGGAAGUCUGGAGGCAGGGAGCACCCAGCCGAGAGAGAGCCCUAGGCAGCUGCAGGACAUUGGGAGAGUGCCAGUUGGGUGUUGCCCCUCCCUGGAGUCUCGGGGUACUUCUUCAGCCCAGGUACCUGCCAUGCAGCAGCUGGAACAUCUCCCCAUUGAGCAGCAGGACUUCCCUUCUCAUGUGCCCUCUCACCGAGUGAAAGGGGAAACACCGUGCCCUAUGCUGUCACUACCUCUGAAUGCCCCACAAAUACCAUCAGGACUGGGACUGUCAGGAGGCAGCAAGGGCAUUGAGGUAAUGGACUGGACAGCAGAUGCAGACAGGGGCCUGACAUUCAUUGUGUAUGAGCUGGCAGGGGACCGCAGCUAUGAUGUGAUCCAGUCUUUCUUCCUCUCUCCUGGAGCCUUGUAUGUGCUGGUGGUGAAUUUGAGUGCCUACGUCCCUCAGCACUUCUACCCCUCUGUGGGCUAUUUCUUGCACUGGCUCGGUUCCAAGGUGCCCCAUGCUGUGGUGUGCAUGGUGGGAACCCAUGCUGACCUCUGUGCAGAGCGGGAGUUGGAAGAGAAGUGCCUGGACAUCCAUCAUCAGAUUGCUCAGCAGGAGAAGAGGGAUGCUGAGGGCCUCCAGAGCUUGGUCCAGCAGGUGGACGAGGCUCUGGGACAGGACUUUGACCUGCGCUGCUCCAACCCACAUGCUGCCUUUUAUGGGGUCUCAGACAAGAACCUGCGGCGAAAAAAAGCCCAGUUUCAGUACCUUCUCAACCACCGCCCACAGAUCCUCUCUCCAGUGCUGCCUUUCAGCUGCUGGGACCGUUGCCAGGUGCGUCGCCUGCGAGACAAGCUACUCUCGGUGGCUGAGCACCGGGAUAUCUUCCCGAACCUGCACCGGGUGUUGCCCAGGUCCUGGCAAGUGCUGGAAGAGCUGCACUUCCAGCCACAAGCUCAGCAGCUGUGGCUUAGCUGGUGGGACUCUGCUCGGUUGGGCUUGCAGGCAGGCCUGACAGAGGAUCGGCUCCAGAGUGCCCUGUCCUACUUGCAUGAGAGUGGAAAGCUGCUUUACUUCGAGGAGCACCUCACCUUGAGGGAGUAUGUGUUCCACAACCUGCCGCUGCUCAUUGACAUCCUCAACAUCUUCUGCCAGCGGGAUGCCACUGUGCUGCUCCAGAAACUGCUCAGCGACACCCACAUUGACGAACUGAGGGCCACUCAGCUCCAUCAUUAUGUGGAAGGCUUCUUGCUGCAUGGCCUCCUCCCUGCCCAUGUCAUCCGUCUCCUCCUUAAGCCCCACAUCCAGAGCCGGGAGGAUCUGCAGCUCAUCCUGGAGCUGCUGGAGAAGAUGGGGCUCUGUUACUGUGUCAACAAACCCAAAUGCAAGCCCCUAAAUGGGGCAGCUGCUUGGUACAAGUUUCCCUGCUACGUGAAAAAUAAGGUGCCCCAUGCAGAGGCGUGGAUCAACAGUGCCAACCUGAGUGGACAGUCCUUCGUGGUGGAGCAGCUGCAGAUUGAAUAUAGCUUUCCAUUCAUUUUCCCACCCGGCUUGUUUGCACGCUACAGUGUUCAGAUUAACAGCCACGUGGUUCAGCGGUCAGAUGGCAAAUACCAGAUCUAUGCCUACCGGGGAAAGGUGCCCGUGGUGGUGAGUUACCGGCCUGCCAGGGGAUCUGUGCAGCCAGAUACUCUGUCUAUUGCUAGUCAUGCGUCCCUACCAAAUAUCUGGACAGCUUGGCAAGCUAUUACCCCCUUAGUGGAAGAACUGAAUGUUCUGCUUCAGGAAUGGCCAGGCCUGUACUACACUGUGCACGUCCUCUGUUCAAAGUGCCUUAAAAGAGGGUCACCCAACCCACACACUUUUCCAGGAGAACUGCUGAGUCAGCCAAGACCAGAGGGACUGACGGAGAUCAUCUGUCCCAAGAACGGCAGCGAGCGAGUUAAUGUUGCCUUGGUUUACCCCCCUACUCCUACUGUGACCAGCCCUUGUUCCAAGUGAGACCUGAAAGCAGACCCCCAUUCCCCUGUCAAUAGACACCAGAAAGCCUACAUAAAACAUGCACUUUCUAAGCAUUUUUUCUGGAAGGUAGCAGCCCCACAGCCUGGGGACUGUCCUAAUUAUUUGUGGAUAUAGACAGCCCACUCAAAGGAUAAGAGGUACAGUAAAAUGGGUUGAGGUGUUCCGUGAGCUAUGUUGUGACAGGUGAAAGGCACACAUAGUGGGCAGGACAGAUCAGGAGAUCAGCCUUAGGUAGGUCAGGACCUCAGGUCCAUGUCCACUCCCUGCUCCAAGCAGGGCCACCCUUGCAGCUGAGUUAGAUUGCUUGAGACCUUGUAUUAGGCAAGGGUUGAUGACUGCCAAGGGUGGAGGAUACCUCUCUGGACUCUAGAGGUACACUGUUCACCUAGGGCAGAACUUUUUUCCUUGUGUCCUGUCUGAGUCUCCCUUACUACAGUUUGGCUCUCAUUGUCACAAAGGUGGACUGCUGGCUUGUUUUCAACAUGUUCUUCACCAGAUCCCAAGGCAGUUGGACCCCAGGCUAUGGUGGUACAUGGGGUUGUCCUGUUCUAGGUGUAGGGCUAUGUACUUAUCCUUGUUGAAUUUCACAGCACUGUUGUUGGCCCAACUUGGUGAGGUCCCUCUGGACAGGAGCUCUGCCCACCUGUGUGUCAAUAGCCCAUAUGUCCUCCAUUCCACAGAGUGGGGAUGUGCUUGGAAAACAGUGCUGUGUUGUAGUGGGAACAAAUGUGGAACAGCACUCGCAAAAACAGGCUUUUUGAUGCAUAGGUUUUCUUGCAGAACAGAAAUGCAGCCAUGGCCUGCUCUCCUUCGAGUGGCACAAGGGAAUUUGACAGGAACCUUAGAAGAGUGAGCCAAGUGUCUUGCUGGUGGCUGCUACUAUGCUGCAUGUGAAUACAUAUGACUUUAACUUCAGUAUCUGCAAGUAGCUUUGGAUGCUGUUCUCUCUGUUCAGUACCGUCCCACCCCAAAAUACGCUCAUCCUGCUGAAGAAUAGCUGUUGACCUGUGUGUGAAGGUGAAGUUGCCACCUGGGGGAGGAAACAAGAUAAGUCGUCAGUGCUGGUGCCAAAGGUUUUCCACCAGGCAGAACAUGGCUGAUGCUCUGCAGUGCUCCCAUCUCUCCAGCUGAGGAGUUGCAUGCUGAUGGGGACCGAUGGGACUUUGGACUCUGAAAUGCUGUGGGGUGGGGGCAGCUCCCAGGUGGGGGCCUCGUGGCUGGAGUGGAUGCAGUCACCUGGAGAUCAGGGACAACAACAAGGCGUGAAGCAAAACGAUUGCUGCAGAUGGCAGAGCCACUGGCCAGAGGGAAAGCACUGGGGAUAGGAUUCUGUGGACGCAUUGAUCGCGUGUUGAAAACCCAUUUGGAUCUCAUGAUGAAUGUAAAAAUGUUCUUGGUACCAUUUAAUUCAGACCUGCUUGGAGGAAAGGCUCUUGAAAUGAGCUGUAGCGGGAUUCCCUGGAUUUGUUCCUGGACAAGUGAGUUUUGUGGCAGGUGGCCAAGGCUUCGGCAGGGAGGGGGUGAAUGCUGUGAAGCCUUUAAAAUUGCUCCACUGCAAAACAGUUGGCUGUGUCCCACACAGCAGACUUGGGCGGUGGCAGCAGAGCUGGGAAGUGUUUCCUGCCUUGUGUGUUCACAUACACUGUGCCAUGAAGUAGUAAAGAUGUCUUGUAAUCACACAGGAAUGGAAGAAGGGCAGUCACUGUGCCCCCGGCACUUGACAUUUCUUCCUGAUCACUAGCCCCCAACAGCUCAUUUUCUGCCAUGCCUGGAUGCUCUGGAGUUGCCAUUGUGGUAUUCUCCGUGCAUCGAGGCCACUAGAGCAGUAGAAAUCUAGAUCUGGGUCCUCCUCCUCCUAGCAAAGCCACCCAGGCAUCAUUGUGCAGAGAUCUAGUGAAGCAGCGCAUGACUGUGUUGUACAAACUGGCCCUGAUGCCCUUGGGCUGACUCUGGCAGCUGUGCUUCUUGGGCAGCCAUUCUCCCUGGGCCAGAUGUGGUAAAGGGCACGCUGAGCACUGCCACAACAGUGCUGAUUUCUCUCCUGACUAGAUGGUUUUUGAGGACUUCUGAGAUGUCGCUGUCAGUUUGUGCCCUACAGCUGAGCCCUGAUAACUGGGGUGUAUGAGUCCCACUCCAUGCAAAUAUUUGAUUUUGUGUAAACUGAAUAGGAAGCAGGCAUUUCCAGAGCCAGGAUCCCUUCAUCAUAUGCUGGUAGAGGUCUGAGAGGUGAGGGACUUAAAAUGUUUAUGUUAAUGUUCAACUAUUAACCCUUCAGGCUGUGUUGGCAGACCUGGGAUGGGUGAUACUGGUCAGCAGGAAGUCCCCACCAGGAUGCAGGCUGGCCAGGCCUGCAGCCAGUGCAAGACAGUGACAUGCAUCCUGCUGGGACUUGCUGCUGUUCCACAGGUUCUGUUCCCCUGGCUUCUGGUCCUUCAAAUACCAUCCUUGUUUGUAGGGCUGCAAAUAUCCCCCUUGGCAGGAACUUAACACUGGGAGAUGCAGGGCAGAACCCACUCUAGAGGGAGAUUGUGGAGGCCAGGUAGAAGAAAUCAAGCUAUGGUGCCUCACCUCAGGGAGAAAGCUGCCAAAUGAAAUCUUGGCAGCUCAGUCAGCUGCACCUCUCUUCAGGGUAUCAUUCCAGCUGGGGGGAGCUUGGGCUCAGAUUUCGUGUGUCGACCUGCCACCUGUGACAAUGGGCAUCUGAACCUUUCUUAUGCAAGUGAGAAGCAUUAAUUGAUUGUGCUUCUGUAUCCCUACAGAUGAAUUGGGGACUAGAAAUUGCCUGUGGUGGCUGGAGGGAAUAGAAGGGAGGUGAGAUUUUUGAGUGGUGCCAAGAAUAGUGGCUGGGAAACUCCCUUGUGCUGAGUCUUGCUGCCCAUGAGACAUGAAGGGCCCAGGUAUAGCCAAAAUUUAUGUUAGGGCAUUCCCUACUGUCACCUCCCAUGCUGGGUGGCAUUCUGCUCUCUUUGCUGCUACUUACCUCUCUCUUUCCAUUCUUCAUAGGAAGAAACUAGCAAUUUGUUGCUGUGACCAUUGCGUGGAAACCACAUUGUAACGAAACCACAAACUGGAAUCCUUUUCUAGCCGGAGGCCUGUUUCCCAGUGCGCCCAUCUGGUCUGGGAUGCGUGAGCAUUGAAGGAGUGAGAGGACAGAGCAGACAUCUUACAGCCUGCUUCUUGGGACCACAGCCCUCCUGCCGGGGCACACCACCACAGCGGGAGCACUGCAUUACCUGGCCUUUGCAGGGACUCAUUCGGCUGCGUGCACUGAAGCCAUAAUGCCAGCAGUGUGGCAGUGUGGAGAUCAGUCUAGUUGGGUCUAUUUAAUGUGAAAUGGUGAUCACUCAUCCGCCCACUGUUAUGUAACUGGUGUUAACUGUUUUCAUCUGUGUUUUUUUUUUUAAUAUGCAAAAGCUAUUUAAUUUUCUAUGCAGUUCAAAAAUGUCUCCCCUUUGCAACUGCCAGGUGGGAGAUCUCUGCAGAAGAACCAAGCCAAGUGGCUGACAGUUCUUUUGAUUUUGCUGUCACACUUUUUUAAGGAUGUAUCCUGGAGUCUUGUGCACACAGUGUCCCUUCAGUGAGCUCCUGCCUGUUAGACCCCACUUAACAUCCCUGAGCCACAGGGAUGAGAGCCCUGUAUUUUUGGAGGAUCUGUCCUCUUUCAUGAGUCAGGCCACAAGGAAAGAGCUUGAAGGCAGUGCCGUAAGAGCAGAGAUAACCAAGUUCAGAGCAUGUAUUACAUUCUUGUUCUUGGCCCUGCUUGGAGAGUUACUGAACUGUUAGAAACGACUAAGGCCUAUGUGGAGCACCCUGUACCCCUUACUGAAAGUGUUAUGAAGAGGUUGGAAAGCACUGGGGCAUCAAGUGUCUCCCUGUGGAGCUAACAGUGAAUUUAGCCCCUUUGGAAUAGGAGGAAAAUCUCCUGGUACUAGAUGCCUGCUUCACUCAAGAGGACUGUGCUGGUUUUGCUUAUUGGUUUGCAGACCUCUUGCUUGCUGACCAGUUGAUUUCCUACUGAAACUGGUGCAGACAGGUUUGGAAGCAGAGCUGGCAAGUUGCUUUGCACUGCAGGACUUCUGGCACCUGGAACGUGUCCUGGAGUGUGUUGUGUUAUUCUCCAAAGCAAAACCUGAGAUUCAAAUCUGCAUCCGUCCAAAUGAAACUCCCAGGAUAGCAGCUUUGCCUUCUGCUGCGUCUGUAUAACACAUGAGAAAUUGCAUGUCCCUAAACAGCACACAAAUGUGUUGAGGUAGAGUGAGAGGGAGCGUGAAGGGUGAUGCUGCACAUCCAGCUCAUCUUAGGGUUUGCAGGGAUACUUGGAGGCCUCUGGCAACUGCAGAGGAGAGGGUCCUGGGAUACCUCUGCUUUAAUUGUGCUAUAGGCAAAAAGAUCAGAGAAAUCAGGUCUGUUUCCAACCUGACACAAGGCCAGGAUGCAUUUGACUAGUCUUUUUUUGUGUCAAUACUGUUCUUUCGGCAUUCUCUGCUCUGAGCUUGGGGGAUUCAGCUUUAAAAUUAAACAGAAAUAGAGACCAGAUUGGGAUGUCACCUGCCUUGUGAUCUCUCAAAUCAGAUGGAAGAGAGCGGGGGCUGCAGAAGUACAGGUCAUCUCCCUUGCAGCUUUCCCCAUGCUACAGUUCCACAGUGGCUGUGAAAACCACACAACAGUGCAUUUGGGUGCUGCUUUCCCAGGAACCCAAGAUGUGCUUGGCUGCGCUGUAGCACUAGAGCUUACAUGGGGUCUGUGUUCCCUUCCCCUUUGUACCUCUGAGGUGGUUAAAGUUUGCCAGAGCAGUAGGGUCUCCUCACUGAAGUUGUGUUAAAGGGAACUGCAAAUAGCAUUUAGGAGCUCACUAAGUGAGGCAAAAACCCACUGGCUAACUCCUGCAGAGCCAGAUCCUGGAGCUCAGGUCCUCCCGUGCCCUUUGUGUGGGAUCUUGGGCUGGUAUCCUUGCAACAGCAGUGCCGGGAGCUGGAGACACUGCACUGCAGUAAGCACAAGAAGAGGCAAGCCAAGUGAGCCUCAGUGUAGCACUCAUCACACACUUCAUGGCUCAGUUCGUGGACUGUAAUUGCAGAUAUUCAUAUAAUCUACACCCCUGGGCAGGACUCUGCGCACACGCACAUGCAUGCCCAGACAUACACCACGCGCACACUCACCCACACAUCCUUGCCAAAACAACUGAAAAUAAAAGUGAUCUCAAUCUCAA